GUUAGGAAUAUUGGACAAUGGGCGAAAGCCUGAUCCAGCCAUGCCGCGUGAGUGAUGAAGGCCUUAGGGUUGUAAAGCUCUUUUGUCCGGGAAGAUAAUGACUGUACCGGAAGAAUAAGCCCCGGCUAACUUCGUGCCAGCAGCCGCGGUAAUACGAAGGGGGCUAGCGUUGUUCGGAAUCACUGGGCGUAAAGCGCACGUAGGCGGAUUGGUCAGUUAGAGGUGAAAUCCUGGAGCUCAACUCCAGAACUGCCUUUAAUACUGCCAGUCUAGAGUCCAGAAGAAGUGAGUGGAACUCCUAGUGUAGAGGUGGAAUUCGUAGAUAUUAGGAAGAACACCAGUGGCGAAGGCGGCUCACUGGUCUGGUACUGACGCUGAGGUGCGAAAGCGUGGGGAGCAAACAGGAUUAGAUACCCGGGUAGUCC
rnacentral:rRNA from 1 species